GCUACAGAGUGAGACAUCACACUUCUGUUCCAUCUUUGUUUUCAGGAGCAGAGGAUGAGGGCGUGCCCUGUCAGUAGCUAGGUAAGGACUACUAGCCAGUCAGAAGCAGAGAAUGAGG